rnacentral:rRNA from 1 species
AGUGAACGCUGGCGGUAUGCCUAACACAUGCAAGUCGAACGGCAGCACAGUAAGAGCUUGCUCUUACGGGUGGCGAGUGGCGGACGGGUGAGGAAUACAUCGUAAUCUACUUUUUCGUGGGGGAUAACGUAGGGAAACUUACGCUAAUACCGCAUACGACCUACGGGUGAAAGCAGGGGAUCUUCUGACCUUGCGCGAUUGAAUGAGCCGAUGUCGGAUUAGCUAGUUGGCGGGGUAAAGGCCCACCAAGGCGACGAUCCGUAGCUGGUCUGAGAGGAUGAUCAGCCACACUGGAACUGAGACACGGUCCAGACUCCUACGGGAGGCAGCAGUGGGGAAUAUUGGACAAUGGGCGCAAGCCUGAUCCAGCCAUACCGCGUGGGUGAAGAAGGCCUUCGGGUUGUAAAGCCCUUUUGUUGGGAAAGAAAAGCAGCAGGUUAAUACCCCGCUGUUCUGACGGUAACCAAAGAAUAAGCACCGGCUAACUUCGUG